AUGUAUGUAAAAUUUCCGUUUUGUCAGUUUCACCGGAUUCAUCCCCAUCAUGCAGAAACAGAAGUUUCCAGCAGAUGGCGCCAGAGGCCGUCUUUUCUCCGCCUCCCCGCGCGCUCCUCGCCGUUUCCGGAUCAGCACGUUCUCUCGAGAAAACGACAUUUCUCUGUCCGCGCCAGGCGCGCGCCGCAGCGGAAAACCCCAGCAAGACGCCUGGCAAGCAGCACAGCCCCACGGGUUGCAGCCCUGGGCGUAAGACCAGCCGCCAGGAAUCCCGGCUUCCAAAUAGUUGAUGGGUUUCGCGCCAGCUCCGCUUUGAAGCAGCGGCCCUGCAGGACCGGGGGUCAGGCUCGUCCCUCCCACGGACCCCCGUGGAAGCAGCUGCCCAGACGUCUUGAGAAGACCAAGUUUCACUCUUGUUGCCUAAGCUGGAGUGAAAUGACGCAAUCGCGGCUCACCGCAACCUCCACCUCCUUCCCAGGUUCAAGCGAUUCUCCUGCCUCAGCCUCCCAAAUAGUUGGGAUUACAGGCAUGUGCAACCAUGCCUGGCUAAUUUUGUAUUUUUAGUAGAGAUGGGGUUUCUCCAUGUUGGUCAGGCUCGUCUUCAAACCCCAACCUCAGGUGAUCUGCCCACCUCGGCCUUCCAAAGUGCUGGGAUUACAGGCGCUCGGGCGCCUGGCCACUGUGGACAUCUUUAAUCAUGUAGGAUAACAGCAUUUUGUCCUCACUGUAAUAGGUAAUGCUUCUGAACUUGGACUUUCUUUGACCCCCGUGCUUGCAUUAUUGUCCCAGGACUGUCUGAAUGCCUUGCUCACCAUCAAGGGAUCUCAUACAACAUUGCUUCUGCCCAGGGACCUCACUUUACACUGAAAGAAGCAAUGUGGUGGGCUAAUUUCUGCCCUUGGAAUAGCAGCUGGCCUUAUCCAGUGCUGGAAUGACCGACUGCAGACUUAACUGUUGUGCCUGCAGGACAGCCUUGCACAGAAAGGUGACACUGGUGUCCUAAAAUGUACAGAGUUUCUUUCAAACUCAAAGCUGACAUAUGGUGCUGACUACAGGAACCAAGAGAAUGGCACCUUUCACUGACACUCAGUGACUUACUUGCAAAUUUUUUGUUUCCUGUUCCUUCACCUCUAGGCUUGGCUAGUUUGAAGGUCUUAAUAAGCAAGAAGGAACUCUUCCACCCCAGAGGAUUCAAGUGUGGUUUAAUUGAAAUAAAAGUUGAGACCCUGGCUGUUUCA
rnacentral:lncRNA from 13 species